GACGAACGCUGGCGGCGUGCUUAACACAUGCAAGUCGAACGGUGAAGCUCCAGCUUGCUGGAGUGGAUCAGUGGCGAACGGGUGAGUAACACGUGAGCAACCUGCCCCUGACUCUGGAAUAAGCGCUGGAAACGGCGUCUAAUACUGGAUACGAGAAGGGUCCGCAUGGGCACUUUCUGGAAAGUUUUUCGGUUGGGGAUGGGCUCGCGGCCUAUCAGCUUGUUGGUGAGGUAAUGGCUCACCAAGGCGACGACGAGUAGCCGGCCUGAGAGGGCGACCGGCCACACUGGGACUGAGACACGGCCCAGACUCCUACGGGAGGCAGCAGUGGGGAAUAUUGCACAAUGGGCGAAAGCCUGAUGCAGCGACGCCGCGUGAGGGAUGACGGCCUUCGGGUUGUAAACCUCUUUCAGCAGGGAAGAAGCGAAAGUGACGGUACCUGCAGAAGAAGCACCGGCUAACUACGUG
rnacentral:rRNA from 1 species